CCAGACUCCUACGGGAGGCAGCAGUGGGGAAUAUUGCACAAUGGGGGAAAUCCUGAUGCAGCGACGCCGCGUGAGCGAAGAAGUAUUUCGGUAUGUAAAGCUCUAUCAGCAGGGAAGAAAAAAAUGACGGUACCUGAGUAAGAAGCACCGGCUAAAUACGUGCCAGCAGCCGCGGUAAUACGUAUGGUGCAAGCGUUAUCCGGAUUUACUGGGUGUAAAGGGAGCGUAGGCGGCGCGUUAAGUCUGAUGUGAAGACCCGAGGCUCAACCACGGGAGUGCAUUGGAAACUGGCGGGCUGGAGUGCCGGAGAGGUAAGCGGAAUUCCUAGUGUAGCGGUGGAAUGCGUAGAUAUUAGGAGGAACACCAGUGGCGAAGGCGGCUUACUGGACGGCAACUGACGCUGAGGCUCGAAAGCGUGGGGAGCAAACAGGAUUAGAUACCCGCGUA
rnacentral:rRNA from 1 species